UCUGUAGAUGUUGUAGUGUUUCAGUGUGCGGACCUGCAAUGGGUCCAUGUUUUUUUUCUGGGCUGAAUGACCGAACUAGUCGAGCUUCGUGCACCAUAGAUGUGAAAUCCACACUGACCCUGAUGACCUCAUCACUCGGACCUGGCCGUCACCUCUGUGUUGAGACCAGUAUGGUUGCCAUGGAAGUGGAGAAGUUGACGAGGACAGACUGUGUUUACGUUCGUGAGGCUGGACAGGGGACAGAGGGGAGAGUGAGUGCCCUUUCUGAGGACCUGCUGAAGGGAAACGUGCCUCUGAAAUGGAGAGACGUCACAGACCCAGAGAAGGUGUUGCAUACAUAUGAAAAAAAUCCUCUCAAGAGAGUUCACAGUGCAAGUGCAUACAUCAAACCAAAUUUGGCAGGCCAGAAAACCAGUGAGACAGACACCCUCAAAGUAUAUCCUCCAUCUCCAAACAGAGGCUCCCCGGCAGGAGCAUCAGACAGGGACUGCAGGAGACACCAAGGAGAGGAUGGAGGAGAGUGGGAUGAUGCUCGAAUUGACACUCACUGUACAGGAGAUGAAGGCUGUACAAUUUGGUGAAAAUCACCUCAUUGCAUUGAAUUUUUUUCUGACCGUUAUUAGCCUGGCUAGCGUCUACCACAUUUCUCGUAUUUGAAAAAGUGCCCAGAUCCGUUCAUUGGGCGCCACGGAUGUCUAUCAUGCGUCUGUGCAUAGCUCAUCAUCGUCUUGCUUUCCCCCCCUGUUCUGGUAUUGGUCCCCUAUCUGAGGCAAAAAAGAGGGCGAUAGUUUCCAGGCUGCCUUAGCGAUGUGAAUCAAAUAGUGUGCAAGGCAGCAUGGGAACACCCAGGCUAGACCGGUAUUGCAUUUGCCAUUUGAUUUUUUUGAAAGUCAAGUUGAAAAACUGUCUGUCAAAUUCUGUCUGUUCAAAAAGUCUGUUCAAAAUUGCCCCUUCUGAUUGGUGGGCAUACCCAGCACAGGCACAGCAGUCCUGUUUGGUGAGCUUCAUUGUGUGUCACACAAGCAGAAUGACAUGAAUAUAAAAAUCAUAGAUGUGACAAGAUUAACCAUUGGGACAGAGCUGUGAGCUUCACAAUCAAUUAAUUACAGUAUUUUGAUUUAGCUAACUGCUUUUGUUCAAAUCGUGAUUAAUUCUGCAGCCCUACAGUAGAUCAGGUUACAUUAGAUUCGACUGUAUUGCUGUUGUCAUGUCAUUGUGCAGAUUAAAUAUUUUAUCAAAAGCAACAGAUGGACUGAAAAAGAGAGGAGCAAGAAGCAAGAAAACAGGAGAUACUUUUCCAAUGUUGAAAGAGAAGAUUGUGGUCAAAAUAGACCUAAAGAUUAUGGACGAAACUGGACUGGAGAGACUUUGUGGGCAUACUCUAUGAACUAUGUCCGGGAGACCCAAGUGAAGACAAGACAAACCGAUCAUAGGCAUGUUGCUGGAGUGACCUUUUUCACCAUUUCUGGAGAAAGAUUUGUAUGUUUUAAUGCACAGGCCUUUGAGUCUGGGAGACAUAGUUACUGUGAAUGUUGAGAAGAGAUGUUAUGAAGGGAUCGGAUUCCUGGUAAGAUGUAGCAUUUUGUAUAUUUGUAUAUUUGUAUGACACAUAUUUCCCUCGGGAUUGUAUUGAUCUGGAUUGUGGGAUUCCGUUUCAGAAUGUGUAGGUGGUGUCCAUAGGUCUAGCAACCUAAUUGAAUCUUACACUAAAGUUCUUCCUGGAACACUUCCUGUAAUACACCAGAUGCUUUCAGUACAUCAACCCUUUUCUUUCUCUCUCCGGAUGUUUGGCAUGUGUUUUCCUCAGCCUUGCUGUCUCUGAGUCUGGGAAUUGAUCUCAGACCUCACAUCUCAAAACUAUGGAUAAAGCUAAUAAUAAAAAUGUUGCAGUAGAGCACCUGCUGUUUAC